GGGGUGUUAGCUCAUCUGGUAGAGCGUAGCUAUGGCAUAGCUAAGGUGGCGAGUUCGAGCCUCGCACACUCCACCA
rnacentral:tRNA from 1 species